AUCCAGCUGACCAGUCCCGAAUGAAACGAAACGCGCGUCCUGAAU
rnacentral:hammerhead_ribozyme from 1 species